GACGAACGCUGGCGGCGUGCUUAACACAUGCAAGUCGAACGGAAAGGCCCCUUUGGGGGUACUCGAGUGGCGAACGGGUGCGUAACACGUGAGUAACCUGCCCUUGACUUCGGGAUAACUUCAGGAAACUGGGGCUAAUACCGGAUAGGAAUCCUUGCUGCAUGGUGGGGGUUGGAAAGCUUCGGCGGUUUUGGAUGGACUCGCGGCUUAUCAGCUUGUUGGUGGGGUAGUGGCUUACCAAGGCUUUGACGGGUAGCCGGCCUGAGAGAGCGACCGGCCACAUUGGGACUGAGAGGCGGCCCAGACUCCUACGGGAGGCAGAAGGGGGGAAGAUUGCACAAGGGGCGGAGGCCGGAUGCAGCAACGCCGCGGGCGGGAUGACGGCCUUCGGGUUGUAAACCGCGUUCAGCAGGGGCGAAGCUUGUGGUGACGGUACCUGCAGAAGAAGCACCGGCUAACUACGUG
rnacentral:rRNA from 1 species